UCCAACUAUGGCAGAUUAGUGCAGUGAGCUUAAGACUCACAAAUGAAGGUCUUUUUCUUCUGUUGGAA
rnacentral:tRNA from 1 species